rnacentral:rRNA from 1 species
ACGGGUGAGUAAUACAUCGGAACAUGUCCUGUAGUGGGGGAUAGCCCGGCGAAAGCCGGAUUAAUACCGCAUACGAUCUACGGAAGAAAGCGGGGGACCUUCGGGCCUCGCGCUAUAGGGUUGGCCGAUGGCUGAUUAGCUAGUUGGUGGGGUAAAGGCCUACCAAGGCGACGAUCAGUAGCUGGUCUGAGAGAACGACCAGCCACACUGGGACUGAGACACGGCCCAGACUCCUACGGGAGGCAGCAGUGGGGAAUUUUGGACAAUGGGCGAAAGCCUGAUCCAGCAAUGCCGCGUGUGUGAAGAAGGCCUUCGGGUUGUAAAGCACUUUUGUCCGGAAAGAAAUCCUGAGGGCUAAUAUCCUUCGGGGAUGACGGUACCGGAAGAAUAAGCACCGGCUAACUACGUGCCAGCAGCCGCGGUAAUACGUAGGGUGCGAGCGUUAAUCGGAAUUACUGGGCGUAAAGCGUGCGCAGGCGGUUUGCUAAGACCGAUGCGAAAUCCCCGGGCUCAACCUGGGAACUGCAUUGGUGACUGGCAGGCUAGAGUAUGGCAGAGGGGGGUAGAAUUCCACGUGUAGCA